UGAACGCUGGCGGCGUGCCUAAUACAUGCAAGUCGAGCGAACGGACGAGAAGCUUGCUUCUCUGAUGUUAGCGGCGGACGGGUGAGUAACACGUGGAUAACCUACCUAUAAGACUGGGAUAACUUCGGGAAACCGGAGCUAAUACCGGAUAAUAUUUUGAACCGCAUGGUUCAAAAGUGAAAGACGGUCUUGCUGUCACUUAUAGAUGGAUCCGCGCUGCAUUAGCUAGUUGGUAAGGUAACGGCUUACCAAGGCAACGAUGCAUAGCCGACCUGAGAGGGUGAUCGGCCAUACUGGAACUGAGACACGGUCCAGACUCCUACGGGAGGCAGCAGUAGGGAAUCUUCCGCAAUGGGCGAAAGCCUGACGGAGCAACGCCGCGUGAGUGAUGAAGGUCUUCGGAUCGUAAAACUCUGUUAUUAGGGAAGAACAUAUGUGUAAGUAACUGUGCACAUCUUGACGGUACCUAAUCAGAAAGCCACGGCUAACUACGUG
rnacentral:rRNA from 1 species